rnacentral:rRNA from 1 species
AUACGAAGGUCCCAAGCGUUAUUCGGAAUCACUGGGCGUAAAGAGUACGUAGGCGGUUUGGUAAGUCAGGUGUGAAAUCCCGGAGCUCAACUCCGGAACUGCAUCCGAUACUGCCAGACUUGAGUAAUGGAGAGGCAGGUGGAAUUCUCGGUGUAGCAGUGAAAUGCGUGGAUAUCGAGAGGAAGACCAACGGCGAAGGCAGCCUGCUGGACAUUUACUGACGCUGAGGUACGAAGGCUAGGGGAGCGAAAGGGAUUAGAAACCCCAGUAGUCC